rnacentral:rRNA from 1 species
CCCUUAGACGUUCUGGGCCGCACGCGCGCUACACUGACCAGUGCAACAAGCAUCCGUCCUUGGCCGACAGGCCCGGGCAAUCUUUGAACGCUGGUCGUGAUGGGGAUAGACUUUUGCAAUUUUUGGUCUUCAACGAGGAAUUCCUAGUAAACGCAAGUCAUCAACUUGCAUUGAUUACGUCCCUGCCCUUUGUACACACCGCCCGUCGCUCCUACCGAUCGAAGAGUUAGGUGAAUUGUUUUGAUCGAUAAGAUUUGACUAUGGUCAACUCUCGUUGUGAAAUUCUGUGAAUCUGACUGUUUAGAGGAAGGAAAAGUCGUAACA